GUUAGGGUUUCAACUUAUGAAUGUUGUGGGGAUACAUUCAGACACUAGAAUAUAACUGUGUUUUAAUUUGAUUAGCAUUUCAUUGUUAGCAUUUCAGAAUAAGGUAGUCUUGCUCAGUCUCAAUUGUU